UGGGGAAUUUUCCGCAAUGGGCGCAAGCCUGACGGAGCAAUACCGCGUGAGGGAGGAAGGCUUUUGGGUUGUAAACCUCUUUUCUCAAGGAAGAAGUCCUGACGGUACUUGAGGAAUCAGCAUCGGCUAACUCCGUGCCAGCAGCCGCGGUAAUACGGAGGGUGCGAGCGUUAAUCGGAAUUACUGGGCGUAAAGCGCGCGUAGGCGGUUAUCUAAGCUAGAUGUGAAAUCCCCGGGCUCAACCUGGGAAUGGCAUUUAGAACUGGAUGGCUAGAGUACAGCAGAGGGGUGUGGAAUUUCCGGUGUAGCGGUGAAAUGCGUAGAGAUCGGAAGGAACAUCAGUGGCGAAGGCGACACCCUGGGUUGAUACUGACGCUGAGGUGCGAAAGCGGGGGGAGCAAACAGG
rnacentral:rRNA from 1 species